rnacentral:lncRNA from 1 species
UGAGACAUAAUUGUUUGGUGAGUGAUUUUCUCGUCUACUUAAAUAAUGUAUCUGCAAAGUUAUCAUUCGGCAAUUGUUUUAAAUUUGAAAUCGUUUUUCUUUCAGCUUUCGAAUUCACUCCACGAAACCCAAACCAAAAAUCAAAAAAUGGGCGCUGAAAAGGUAUCCAUGAACAUCGUCGUCGUCGGACAGGUCCAAUCCGCCAAGGCCAUCAAAACCGUCGCAAAGGACGCCCCAGCCACCAGCCAACUGAUGGUGAGUACCCACCUACUUCUUUUCAUCACAAAUAUCGUUUUUUUUUUUUUAAUUCUGAGAAGAGCAAUAUUUGUCGUUUCAGAAAAAAUUUGGGACUUCGGGGUCAAUAAAAACUACUUAAUAGUAAAUUUUUCGAAUUAUUUUUAACUAUAGUUUUUUCAUAAGCACCUAAGCCCCUAAGAUCGAUAAAUUAUGAUGACCGUCUUGUUACAAUCGAUUUUGA